rnacentral:rRNA from 2 species
UUCCUGGUGAUUUAGCUUAUCGUGAUCUACUCGAUCCCAUUCCGAACUCGGAUGUAAAAGCGAUAAGUGCCGAUGAUACUAACUGGUUCGCCGGUGGGGAAAGUAGGUUUCGCCUGGAAU